CUGGCACCUUCGGUGUCCGAGUUGUAAUUUGAAGAAGGUAACUUUGGAGUUGGCUCUUGUCUAUGUUCCUUGGAACAGGACGUCACAGAGGGUGAGAAUCCCGUGCGAUGAGAUGCCCAAUUCUAUGUAAAGUGCUUUCGAAGAGUCGAGUUGUUUGGGAAUGCAGCUCUAAGUGGGUGGUAAAUUCCAUCUAAAGCUAAAUAUUGGCGAGAGACCGAUAGCGAACAAGUACAGUGAUGGAAAGAUAGAGACCGAUAGCGAACAAGUACAGUGAUGGAAAGAUGAAAAGAACUUUGAAAAGAGAGUGAAAAAGUACGUGAAAUUGUUGAAAGGGAAGGGCUUGAGAUCAGACUUGGUAUUUUGCGAUCCUUUCCUUCUUGGUUGGGUUCCUCGCAGCUUACUGGGCCAGCAUCGGUUUGGAUGGUAGGAUAAUGACUAAGGAAUGUGGCUCUACUUCGGUGGAGUGUUAUAGCCUUGGUUGAUAC
rnacentral:rRNA from 1 species